rnacentral:miRNA from 1 species
GGUCCCGCCUUGCAUCAACUGAAU